rnacentral:rRNA from 1 species
UAGGAAUCUACCUGGUAGUGGGGGACAACUCGGGGAAACUCGAGCUAAUACCGCAUACGCCCUUCGGGGGAAAGCGGGGGAUCUUCGGACCUCGCGCUAUUGGAUGAGCCUGCGUUGGAUUAGCUUGUUGGUGAGGUAAAAGCUCACCAAGGCGACGAUCCAUAGCUGGUCUGAGAGGAUGAUCAGCCACACUGGGACUGAGACACGGCCCAGACUCCUACGGGAGGCAGCAGUGGGGAAUAUUGCGCAAUGGGCGAAAGCCUGACGCAGCCAUGCCGCGUGUGUGAAGAAGGCCUUAGGGUUGUAAAGCACUUUCAAAAGGGAAGAAAAGCUGUACGUUAAUAGCGUGCAGCCCUGACAUUACCUUUAGAAGAAGCACCGGCUAACUCCGUGCCAGCAGCCGCGGUAAUACGGAGGGUGCGAGCGUUAAUCGGAAUUACUGGGCGUAAAGCGCGCGUAGGCGGUUUGUUAAGUCAGCUGUGAAAGCCCCGGGCUCAACCUGGGAAUUGUAGUUGAUACUGGCAAGCUAGAGUACGAGAGAGGGAGGUAGAAUUCCAUGUGUAGCGGUGAAAUGCGUAGAUAUAUGGAGGAAUACCAGUGGCGAAGGCGGCCUCCUGGCUCGAUACUGACGCUGAGGUGCGAAAGCGUGGGUAGCAAACAGGAUUAGAUACCCUGGUAGUCCACGCCGUAAACGAUGUCUACUAGCCGUUGGGAGACUUGAUUUCUUAGUGGCGCAGCUAACGCAAUAAGUAGACCGCCUGGGGAGUACGGCCGCAAGGUUAAAACUCAAAUGAAUUGACGGGGGCCCGCACAAGCGGUGGAGCAUGUGGUUUAAUUCGAUGCAACGCGAAGAACCUUACCAGGCUUUGACAUCCUCGGAACUUUCUAGAGAUAGAUUGGUGCCUUCGGGAACCGAGUGACAGGUGCUGCAUGGCUGUCGUCAGCUCGUGUCGCGAGAUGUUGGGUUAAGUCCCGUAACGAGCGCAACCCUUGUCCUUAGUUGCCAGCACUUCGGGUGGGAACUCUAAGGAGACUGCCGGUGACAAACCGGAGGAAGGUGGGGACGACGUCAAGUCAUCAUGGCCCUUACGGCCUGGGCUACACACGUGCUACAAUGGAACGCACAGAGGGCAGCAAACCCGCGAGGGGGAGCGAAUCCCACAAAACGUUUC